UAUCUGCUCAAUGAGUGAAUCUUAAAUAGCCGCGGAAAUUUAACCGUGCUAAGGUAGCAUAAUCAUUAGCCCUAUAAUUGAGGGCUCGUAUGAAAGAUAAAACAUUUCAAUAACUUUUUUAAUUUUUCUUUAUCUAAUUUAUACUAAGAAUAAAAAUAUUCUUAUUUAAUUAAUAGACGAUAAGACCCUAAUGAACUUUACUUAAGUUUUGCUGGGGCAGCAAAAUAAUCAUAAUUUUAUUUAUUAAUUUAUUAAAUAAAUGACCCAAUUUAAUUGAUCAUUUGCAUAAGUUACCAUAGGGAUAACAGCGUAAUUAAUUUUUGAAGUUCUUAUUUAAAAAAAGGAUUGCGACCUCGAUGUUGAAUUAAUGAUACUAAUUUAACGCAAUAGUUAAAA
rnacentral:rRNA from 1 species